UACGUAGGGGGCUAGCGUUGUCCGGAAUCAUUGGGCGUAAAGAGCGUGUAGGCGGCCCGGUAAGUCCGCUGUGAAAGUCGGGGGCUCAACCUCGGGUCUGCAGUCGAUACGAGCAAACUAGAGUGUUGCAGGGGAGACUGGAAUUCCUGGUGUAGCGGUGGAAUGCGCAGAUAUCAGGAGGAACACCAAUGGCGAAGGCAGCACUCUGGUACGUGACUGACGCUGAGACGCGAAAGCGUGGGGAGCAAACAGG
rnacentral:rRNA from 1 species